rnacentral:rRNA from 1 species
GAUGAACGCUGGCGGCGUGCCUAAUACAUGCAAGUCGAGCGAACAGACGAGGAGCUUGCUCCUCUGACGUUAGCGGCGAACGGGUGAGUAACACGUGGAUAACCUACCUAUAAGACUGGGAUAACUUCGGGAAACCGGUGCUAAUACCGCAUAAUAUAUUUAACCGUAUGGUUCAAUAGUGAAAGACGCUUUUGCUGCAACCUAUAGAUGGAUCCGCGCCGCAUUAGCUAGUUGGUAAGGUAACGGCCUACCAAGGCAACGUAGCGUACCCGACCUGAGAGGGGGAUCGGCCACACGGGAACUGAGACACGGUCAAGACUCCUACGGGAGGCAGCAGAAGGGAAUCUUCGGCAAGGGGCGAAGGCCGGACGGAGAAACGCCGCGGGAGGGAUGAAGGUCUUCGGAUCGUAAAACUCUGUUAUUGGGGAAGAACAAAUGUGUAAGUAACUAUGCACGUCUUGACGGUACCUAAUCAGAAAGCCACGGCUAACUACGUG